rnacentral:rRNA from 2 species
CAGUCGAGCGAAUGGAUUAAGAGCUUGCUCUUAUGAAGUUAGCGGCGGACGGGUGAGUAACACGUGGGUAACCUGCCCAUAAGACUGGGAUAACUCCGGGAAACCGGGGCUAAUACCGGAUAACAUUUUGAACUGCAUGGUUCGAAAUUGAAAGGCGGCUUCGGCUGUCACUUAUGGAUGGACCCGCGUCGCAUUAGCUAGUUGGUGAGGUAACGGCUCACCAAGGCAACGAUGCGUAGCCGACCUGAGAGGGUGAUCGGCCACACUGGGACUGAGACACGGCCCAGACUCCUACGGGAGGCAGCAGUAGGGAAUCUUCCGCAAUGGACGAAAGUCUGACGGAGCAACGCCGCGUGAGUGAUGAAGGCUUUCGGGUCGUAAAACUCUGUUGUUAGGGAAGAACAAGUGCUAGUUGAAUAAGCUGGCACCUUGACGGUACCUAACCAGAAAGCCACGGCUAACUACGUGCCAGCAGCCGCGGUAAUACGUAGGUGGCAAGCGUUAUCCGGAAUUAUUGGGCGUAAAGCGCGCGCAGGUGGUUUCUUAAGUCUGAUGUGAAAGCCCACGGCUCAACCGUGGAGGGUCAUUGGAAACUGGGAGACUUGAGUGCAGAAGAGGAAAGUGGAAUUCCAUGUGUAGCGGUGAAAUGCGUAGAGAUAUGGAGGAACACCAGUGGCGAAGGCGACUUUCUGGUCUGUAACUGACACUGA